CAGGCCUCACACAUGCAAGUCGAACGGUCACACAUCUCGCUCGCUCUUGGGUGACUAGUGGCGGACGGGUGAGUCAUGUCUGGGAAACUGCCCGAUGGAGGGGGAUCACUACUGGAAACGGUAGCUAAUACCGCAUAACGUCUUCGGACCAAAGUGGGGGACCUUCGGGCCUCACACCAUCGGAUGUGCCCAUAUGGGAUUAGCUAGUAGGUGGGGUAACGGCUCACCUAGGCGACGAUCCCUAGCUGGUCUGAUAGGAUGACCAGCCACACUGGAACUGAUACACGGUCCAUACUCCUACGGGAGGCAGCAGUGGGGAAUAUUGCACAAUGGGCGCAAGCCUGAUGCAGCCAUGCCGCGUGUAUGAAGAAGGCCUUCGGGUUGUAAAGUACUUUCAGUGGGGAGGAAGGCGAUGAAGUUAAUAGCUUCGUCGAUUGACGUUACCCGCAGAAGAAGCACCGGCUAACUCCGUGCCAGCAGCCGCGGUAAU
rnacentral:rRNA from 1 species